AGUGCGGUGCAUCCUGUCUGUGUGUUUAUGCUUUGUUCCCCUGACUCCUGCAGUAAAUAGUUCAGAAAAGUAGAUGGGAGGCAGCUACCGAAGCUGCAAGGGGUAGAAAACAGUGCAUGGAGAGGGGAGAAGGAAAGGGAGGGCCGGAAUAAAACUCGGAUCUGGAAGUAAAGAAGAUGCACAUUCCUGUAGUGUGAAGUUCUCAGCAGCCAGCCUGAAAAUGGUCAUCCCAAUACAGAUGCAGAUACUCACAGCCAACCAUCUGACUGAGCCCAGGACCCCAGUGGAAUUGCUCGGGGAAGGACUGAAGGAGCUGAAAGGAAUUGAAACCUCAUAAGAAGAACAAUAUCCACUAACCGAACCACCCAGAGCUCCCGGGGACUAAACCACUAACCAGAGUACACAUGGAGGGAUCCAUGACUCCAGCUGCCUAUGUAGCAGAGGAUGGCUUUAUCUGACAUCAGUGGGAGGGCAGGCCCUUGGUCCUGUGGAGGUUUGAUGCCCCAGUGUAGGGGGAUGCUAGAGUCACCACUAGUGGAAACACGGGUCCCCUCUCUGCAAGGAAGCCGAGCCCAAGCGUCUUCCUCAAAGUGACUAUCAGACACAACUGAGUAAAGGCACCAGCCUCCUCGAUGCCAGUGAAGUAACAACCGCCACGGGCCACCAUGAGAUCAUAUCAAGAGUACACACAUCUGACAUACACCCAUCAUGGCAUACUAACUUGCCUAGCCAUGGAUAUUCACCAGCCAUUCUCCCUCCUCCUUCCAUCUGGUGUCUUCAGACUGGAGAUAAACGAAACUCAACAACAAUAUCCAGGCCAUCGUGAGUGUCUAACGGAACACUGGCAGCGAGGUGGUUAACUUUAAAGUUAGAGGAGGAACAGAGGCCGGGAGAACGUGACUGUGACCCAAGAAUAGAUUAAGAAAUCAAGCUGUGUCCCACUCCUAGCAUCCUAACAAAUGAAGGAGUUCGAAAUAGUCUCAUAGUGGGUUGCAAAUGGCAAACACAAGCUUUGUUUUAGAUGUUCAGUUACUUGUAUGUUUAUGGGUGUCUCUGUAAGACAUUUGUGCCUAAAACAAUGGUUUGAAUUGUGCC
rnacentral:lncRNA from 1 species